rnacentral:snoRNA from 1 species
UUAACGUGAUGACAAUCCAAAUGGUUUCGCAUUUUGGCUGUUUGAAAACGACAAUGAUAUAAACACUUGGCUGUCUGAUUUU